GCUAAACGCGAAGAACCUUACCAGCCCUUGACAUGGCAGGACGGUUUCCGGAGACGGAUUCCUUCACUUCGGUGACCUGUACACAGGUGCUGCAUGGCUGUCGUCAGCUCGUGUCGUGAGAUGUUGGGUUAAGUCCCGCAACGAGCGCAACCCUCGCCCUUAGUUGCCAUCAUUUAGUUGGGCACUCUAAGGGGACUGCCGGUGAUAAGCCGGAGGAAGGUGGGGAUGACGUCAAGUCUUCAUGGCCCUUACGGGCUGGGCUACACACGUGCUACAAUGGCGGUGACAGAGGGCUGCUAGGCCGCGAGGCCAUGCUAAUCCCUAAAAGCCGUCUCAGUUCGGAUUGCACUCUGCAACUCGAGUGCAUGAAGUCGGAAUCGCUAGUAAUCGUGGAUCAGCAUGUCACGGUGAAUACGUUCCCGGGUCUUGUACACACCG
rnacentral:rRNA from 1 species